UACAUUUUCAUGGUACGGUCAGUACUGUUUAUUUUUGUAAUAAAGUGAACUUAAUUUUUCCACUGAGUGUUAUAUUUUCAUUCAGUAGUAAUCGGUUAUUAGUAGGUGCUACCCGACUUGGUUAUCGGCAUCUGUAAGAUCCACUGUCGAUCAGCCUUUAAAAUAGAUUAAUGUGUAUGACAUGAUCUUCUUUAAUUAAUAAAGAAAUGCGCUUGUUGACAACUUGCUGUGGUAUAAGGGGAAUAAAACACUUCAGAAUGUGCAGUUCUACCUUAGGGUGAUAACGGUCACUCCACUUCAUUGGAUCGUUGACUGUUUUCCUAUAACCGUAUGUUUAUUCCUUACAUAAAUUAAACACAAAGCAUGUAGGGGUUCCACAUGCAUGUAGUAUUUGUACAAUCAAUAACCUAUUAGAGUAAUACAUUGUGGUAUAUAAACUGAACUUUGUGUUUGAUGUGUCUGCAGUGCCCAAAGCCCGUGGUGGUGGCAGUGCAUGGCUUGUGUGGAAGCAGGUCUGUUGGGAGUGUUAAGUACCAUCAUCUCAUACACUCACCACAACUCUGGGAAGUUCCAUCCAUAUUGUUUGCUGUCACUUUUCCUGCAAAGCUUUAACCAUCAGAGAGUUAUCUUUUACUGGGGCUUUUAGCUGCAGGAGACUGAAUUACUAAGUUUUUUUUUUGUGGAUCUGAUUUCUUCUUUCGCAGGAGUGGAUCUAAUCACAGCCUGUGAUAUUCGUCUGUGCACACAGGACGCCUGGUUUCAGGUGAAGUCGUGUGUUCCCUGAUAGUCCAUGAUUGCUGGAGCUCUGGAAAUAGCAGGUGAGAUUGCAGGCCGGAGUCGCGUCGCUGUCCAAGGAACCAAAAUCAACCUCCUCUGAGACCACAGUGUGACUGAGAGCCUAGACUACAUGGCUACUUGGAACAUGAACAUGUUGCAGACACAGGAUCUUAUGAAGUCAGCGCAGGCAGCCCUGGAAAAGAAGAGUCCGAAAGACGUGCCCUUCUCCAAGCUUUAAAGGAGAAGAUCCAGGGCUGUUGAAGCUGCGGUGGAACUGAGACAUCAUCAUCCACAUAUCUUCAGUUCUUCUUGCUAAGUCUGUUUCUUUUUAGUCUUUUUAUUUUUAGACUGGUCAAAAGACUGAUUAGUGGAAGUGAAAUGAUAGAUGAACUUUUAAUUACUUGCUUUAUUAUUUGCAGGUGCCUUGUACAGUAAGACAGGGUAACUAAUACUCAAAAGCUUGUUUUGUGUGUUAACAUGUACAGUAGAUGGACAUAUUUUUUCUGGUGCUGUGACUGCAGAAUGUAGUGCAGUUAACACAUUAAAUUUCCUUGGAUGCUCACUUUUAACUCUAGGAGGUCACAGUUUGCCCAGACAUCUUUUUUUAAAUCCGUCAAUCCGUCACCCACACGUCAUUCUGGGGGACGAAGAGGAGGAAGCUGGACAGAUAAAUUUAUUUAUUUAUUUAUCAUUGCUGUGUUUCCUCAAUCGAGUGCAGAAAGAAGAAAAACAACACAACUGAUUUAAAAUAAAAAUAUAGAAAACAAUCUAAUGUAAGGUUCUGAUCCGGUUUGCUUUCAGCAGGAAGGCUGUCCUCUUUCCUGUUGCUCUUUCCCUUCUAUUAGUCCAUUUGUCCAGUCUGAAUCGGUUUUGAUUCGUUUCGAGACGAUUCGGAGUCGAAUAAUUUUCUAGUGAGAGUCGCACACUUCCAAACGAACUAGACUGAAAUGAGUAUUUGAUUCUCACUAGAAAGUGAUUCGACUCUGAAUAAACUCGAAAUGAAUCAGUCAAACUGAUUCAGACUCUAUAAAAGGACUAUGAGAUGUGAUUAAGAUAUAUAUUCCAAUGUUUUGCUUUACAAUUCCAUUGUGUGUGUGUGUGUGUGUGUGUGUGUGUGUGUAUGUGUGUGCGUGCGCUCGCACGUGUGUUUUUCAGGAGAACGAGAAACUCGGACACAACAGUACAUCCUGACCAUUGGUACUGUGUACACAUCAACAUACACACACGUCUCCAUGCUGGACAUCUCAGGAGCUUUCACACACAGUGCUAGGAAUAUCCCGGGACAGAGAAACGCACCUUCUAAGUGAGCGAGUUUAGCGUCAACCGGUGAAAUUUGCUGUAGCGUGAACACUUCGCCUCUGUGAGCUUCACUCUCCGUAGGGUUCACUGUAAUUAGACAUAAAAUGUACAUAGUUUAUUUUUCAUGCAUUUAGGAUUUCAUGUUUUUUUUUGUUUUUUUUUACUCUUCGAGGAAAAGAAAUGAUCUUUCGAGGCAGCUUCUUCAUCACUACCUGCUCCGUUUGACUCAAAAAUGUAACGACCGGUUUCAAAAAGUCACGAUGUCUUACUGUUGAAUUUAAACAGGAAAUGUGAAAUAUUUUUUCCCUUUGUUUCCUCUACUGUCUUUUUGCUGUGAUCUUGAACACAGUUGUAAUUUUAAAAAAAAAUAAAUAAAAAAAUGAUAAUUCUAGUUCUCUCACUUUCCUUGUCCUAAUUGUCCUGUAUCUGUUAAAUCCGUUUCAUCUCUGGUCUUUCUGUCUGUAUGAACACUUGUAGAAAUGACUUGUAGUCCAUAUUUUUAAAUGAUUCGUGAUUUUGAAUUUAAAUAAAGAUAUUCUUUAA